rnacentral:rRNA from 1 species
UACGGAGGGUGCAAGCGUUAUCCGGAUUCACUGGGUUUAAAGGGUGCGUAGGUGGGUCUGUAAGUCAGUGGUGAAAUCUCCGAGCUUAACUCGGAAACUGCCAUUGAUACUAUAGAUCUUGAAUUAUCUGGAGGUAAGCGGAAUAUGUCAUGUAGCGGUGAAAUGCUUAGAUAUGACAUAGAACACCAAUUGCGAAGGCAGCUUACUACGGAUGGAUUGACACUGAGGCACGAAAGCGUGGGGAUCAAACAGG